rnacentral:rRNA from 1 species
AUUGAACGCUAGCGGCAUGCUUUACACAUGCAAGUCGAACGAGGGGCGGACGGGUGAGUACUAGAUCGGAACGUGCCCAGUAGCGGGGGAUAACUACUCAAAAGAGUGGCUAAUACCGCCUACUAUGGGAGCGGCAGAUAUCGGAUUAGCUAGUUGGUGGGGUAAAGGCUCACCGUGCCAACGAUCCGUAGCUGGUUUGAGAGGACGACCCGCCACACUGGAACUGAGACACGGCCCAGACUCCUACGGGAGGCAGCAGUGGGGAAUUUUGGACAAUGGGGGAAACCCUGAUCGAGCCAUCCCGCGUGUAUGAGAAGGCCUUCGGGUUGUAAAGUACUUUUGGCAGAGAAGCGGUAUCUCCAGAAGAAGCACCGGCUAACUACGUGCCAGCGGCCGCGGUAAUUC